UCGUUGGCCAACACCUACGACAUUAACAGAGGCACGCAGCUUUCAUGGUCUCGCCUCUUUUUAUCGCCGAUUCAUUCCCGGGUUCAGUACUAUUAUGGCACCAAUAACUGAUUGCAUGAAACAAGGAGCGUUUCUUUGGACCCCUGCAGCUGCCACGGCCUUUACAAUUUUGAAGCAAAAGAUGAGUCAAGCACCUGUUCUUCGACAUCCUGAUUUGACUAAAGUCUUUGAAGUGGCAUGCGACGCUUCCGGAGUCGGAAUUGGUGGCGUGCUUAGCCAAGAAGGACAUCCAGUAGCCUACUUUAGUGAGAAACUUAAUGCAGCAAAGCAACGUUAUUCUACUUAUGACAAGGAGUUUUAUGCUGUGGUACAGGCCCUUCGGUAUUGGCAAUAUUACCUAUUGCCAAACGAAUUUGUGCUAUAUUCCGAUCAUCAAGCUUUGAAAUAUCUCCACUCUCAACGCACCAUCAGCAGUCGACAUGUCAAGUGGUCUGAAUAUCUACAGAUCUUUACGUUUGUUUUACGACACCGUCCAGGCAUUGACAAUAAGGCAGCUGAUGCCCUUAGUCGCGUGGCUACUAUUUUGCACACAAUGACAGUUGAGGUCACUGGGUUUGAUCGUAUUAAGGCCGAGUAUUCGUCGUGUCCAGAUUUUGGAAUUAUUUUCCAUGAAGUUUCCAACGGUAACCGUCGUGAGUAUGUGGACUUUAUUACAAGGGAUGGGUUCUUGUUUCGGAAAACCCAAUUAUGCAUUCCUCGUACUUCUCUUCGUGAAUUCCUUAUUUGGGAACUACAUGGUGGUGGUUUGGCUGGACAUUUUGGUAAAUGAUGCAGAAUGCAUCUCCUAAUUCUACUUGGAUUAGCUUUCCUUUUAUUAGUUUUCCUAUUUUAGUUAAGAAUUCCCCGUUGUUAAAGGAUUUCUUAUUAGUUAAAUUGCUUUCCUAAUUUUUCAAAGUUUGUCUCUAUAAAUAGAGCAGAUUGUAAUCUUUUAAUUUAAUUUUUGAUGAAUGAAAAACUCUCCUUACUAGAACUCCCUGAUUUCUUCCCCUUUCCCUUCGUCUCCUCGACCCCUAAUUCGUCUCCUCGAUCUUUUACUUCUUCUCGGUCCCGUCACACCCUUGUUCACCCUAAUACUACCGCAGUUCUACAUCAAUGUUCCAAAGUAAAUAUACUUAAGGUAUCUGUUAUUUUUCAAAUGAAACCUUACAGGACUGUUCCUGUUGGUUCACAAAUCUACUUAAGUGGAAACACUAUCAUACGUAUACUGCAAGUUUCAUGGCAUCCUAACAGUGACACCCAUCUGGGAAUUCUUUCUUUGUGAGCCAACUCCAGGCAAGCUAUCACCUUUGAAGCUUGAUCAACCUCUUGAUAGUACUCUUUGGUUCGGGCUUCCUCCCCCUCUGUUGAGAUUGGCUAUUGUGGAUCUGGCUCUGCCUAGGAAAGCAAAGAGUGGUUCUCUUAUUAGGAUGUUUACUGAUCCCCUGAUGUUGGAAAGAAUAUACACCCUUCAUGAUGGAGGGUUAGAUUCAAUAGUGUUGCAUUAUCUCCCGUUUACAAGUCAGAUUAGCGGCAAGAACCAGACCAUGAGAACUCCAUCAGUGCAUCCUGUUCUAAGCACAUGCCAGGGGGAAGACCCCUCGCAAUCUCUGCUAUCAGGUUUUGUGCAUUAUCAGAUUCAUUUGCCUGUUCAUGGAUUGUGGGACUCGCUGUUUUGCGAGAAUGUAUAGUGCUGGAGAUGAAGACUUGGAACCUAUUGCUUCCUCUUCAAGUCGAUAUGGAGAACAAAUUUCUUUGCCUUGAAGAACCAAAAGAGAAAGAUAUGCCAAAUCUUAAAAGCAAAGAACUCCUAGUUGGACCUAAGGUGGUUCUUCUUCCUCGGAGCUCACCAAGUUUGCGUUCUCUUUCUGCUGAUUCAAUUGAAGGUCGACCAAAGCUUCAUAAGUACUUCAGAAGCUUUCAUGAAUAUUAUGCAGAGUAUGCAUGUAAGGUUUACUUUGAACUCGAGUAUCAUGGACCCAUCUUGAAGAGGAUAAUUGAUGACCAGCAUGCUCGCCUAGGUGCUGCACAACAGAGGCUCUCGCAAGUUGAGGAGAAGCAAUCAAAAUUGGAGGACAGAACUGAUAGUGCAAUCCAGAUGCACAAUCUUCUGGAGGAGCGCUUGAAACGUUUAAGAAACUUGCCUGGGCCUGUCCAGAGCUGAGUGAGAGUUCAAGUCGGAGCUUGACCACUUCUCAGGAGUUGAAUUGGAUGAAUUGCGUUCUUCCAUUAACACUGUAACUGCAAGGUUGAGAAGGCACACACAAUCGCCGAAAAGCAAUGCAUCAAACCAACGUUGGCCGAUAGCAAGGAGGAAAGAUCCUGUGCAAGAAUCUCAAGUCUCCCAUCUGAAAUUCUCAGUUGAGAAACUCACUGGUCAAUUGAAAAUUCGAAAAAGGUUAGGCUUGUUGAAUCUGAAUUUAAAAGUCGGGAAACCAGACCUACUUUGUUUCUGAAUCUGUGAUUAAGUUAUGGUAACCGGAUGUAAGUUUUGAACCUAUGGCGGUGCACGAUAUGUCCUUUUAUUAAAGUCGGUGCCAUUUUGAACGGUAUUGCUCGGCACAUCAUGUGUAAUAAUACCAUUGGUUGAAAGCUUGAAAAUAUCUGUCCGCUGAUA